UCAGAAUCCCCGGGGCAGCGUGCUCCCA
rnacentral:sRNA from 1 species